GCGAGACAUCAUCUCACUCGUAUAUACGAUCUUUGUUUUUGUUUGUUUCCCUUCCUGCCCGGUGCAGGUGGAAGUGAGUGAAGUUCCGUAGCUUUGAGCUAAAUACACCUAAAGUCAAAGGGUUGAAUUGAAACAUUGAAAUAAGAAUUAAACCUUUAAAAAACAAGAUAUGACUGAGAAGCUGUUGACAUCGUGUUGAACUGCGUCGGACUCCUGAGAAGCUGUUCAUUGAUAUUCCGUGUUUGGAUGUGAUGGACAGGCGACUUGUCCACGCUCCAGCUGGGAUUGGCUCCAGCGACCCCUGUGACCCUCGUGAGGAUAUUCACGUGUCUUGCCCAGGGACACGUCGACAUGUAGACGACCUUCCUCCUGAUCCAUCGCUGCCCACAAAGCUCCUGGUCCGGGCUGUGUUGACCGGCUCCGGCUCGAGUCGUGACCGUCCUCCUCUCCGGACGAGCAGCUCAGUUAUUCAUGAUCAGCUGACGACGUGGAGUUGCUGAUGACAUCACUUCCUGCAAGCUCACCUGUGUGAGUUAGUAUUUCCUGUUGUGGUCCUGCUCCUCCUGGUUGCUCUGAGGGUGAAGCAGACUCUGGACGAUAUCCACAUUUGAAAAGUGAAGCCCAGGACGUGAGGUGAAAGUAGCAGUUAGCCACCAGGGGGCGACUCCACUGGCUGCUAAGAGAAGGCCUCGCUU